rnacentral:rRNA from 1 species
GACGAACGCUGGCGGCGUGCUUAACACAUGCAAGUCGAGCGGUAAGGCCCUUUCGGGGGUACACGAGCGGCGAACGGGUGAGUAACACGUGGGUGACCUGCCCUCAGCUCUGGGAUAAGCCUGGGAAACUGGGUCUAAUACUGGAUAUGACUCCACGGUGCAUGUCGUGGGGUGGAAAGCCUUGUGCGGCUGAGGAUGGGCCCGCGGCCUAUCAGCUUGUUGGNGGGGUGAUGGCCUACCAAGGCGACGACGGGUAGCCGGCCUGAGAGGGCGACCGGCCACACUGGGACUGAGACACGGCCCAGACUCCUACGGGAGGCAGCAGUGGGGAAUCUUGCGCAAUGGGCGAAAGCCUGACGCAGCGACGCCGCGUGAGGGAUGACGGCCUGG